CAAACUCGAGUAUCUUGCUAAAAGCUAGGAUGGAUCUCAACCUCAAGCUAAAGUCCACUUAUGACAAGUAGUGAAAGUGGAAGGACAAAAAAGAAUUUGUAAGGAAAACCCAUCUACAUAAAACCAGUGCUCACCACAAAGCUAGGGUUUGGGGCAAAGCAAAAGCUCAGACAACAAAAGAAAAGAGGGGAGAGAGGGAAGAGGAUGUUUUUAAAGGGUUGUUCACCCCCUUCUCUUUCCAAUGGAUUUUCCCCCAAAUUUCAACAACAACCCUUUUGUUGGAUUUACUCAUUUUCCAUACAUAAAUAAAAAGAGGUAAUUUUCCGGAAGGUUUCAAUGGUGGGAAAUCGAUGUUCUUUCAACCCAUUGAGCAACCGUGAUGAUUGCAGCCAUGGCGCUCUGUUCCUCUUUGUUCCGAUUAUCAAAUACAUCUGAGCCUUAUUUAUAAUUGUUAAUCUAUGUCUUCUGUGUUUACUAAAAGCAAGCAGGCCCGGAAAAGUAGGGAUCUUGUUAUGGGCACAUAUUAGCAAUAUUUGCUUGUUAAAUAAACGAAAGCUAUUGAACUUUUGAAUCAACAAUUUCUUAGAGACUUAUGGAAUGACACAUUCAAUAGAUAUAGGAGCUUAUUUACUCGGUUUUAGACUUUAUAAAGUUGCUAUUUAUACAGUUCAUCUUACCAUUAGCAUGGCAAUUUUAGGAAUUUGAGCUGUAAUAAGCAGCAGAUUAAAACUUUUUUUCAUGAGAAAAUGCUUCAUCUCAGGACAGCUUCCUGGAUCAUCUUGUAAAACUUGUAUGCGUAAUUGCGUAUCUUAUUUUGGUAAUUUCAAAAGUAGAAACUAUUAAACUAGAAUGCUGAUUUAAGUAUACAUAUCUAAUGCAUUGUUGUUGUUGUAUGUCUCUUAUGUUUUAUGUCAAUGGUAAUAUAAGGUAAUCUGUAAAAUUCAAAAAAUGUUUUAUGUCAAAAACGAUGUACUUGUUUAUCAUCGUGCUGAUAUGGGUUAACAAUUUAUCUUUCUUUAAAUCACUCGCUGAUCUAUUAGCAUUAUAUGUGCUUUGUAGCAUUCAAUGUCAAGUACUGAAAUGCGUCAUUGCUGAGCAUUGUUCAAGCUAUGUGGGAAUGGAAAUGAAAUAAUAGUUUGUUAUGAAAUGAAUUUUCUCUUCUGGGCUAACACAACUUGUUUUUCAUUCCAAGUUUCCGCCAUAGUUUGGGUGUGACAUUUUGAUACUUUUAUUCAGUGAGAGAUUAUCCUUUUCUGUUUUUGAUUGUACUUGUGUAUGGUUCGUAUAUGUUCGCAAGGAAAAUGAGGGUUGAUCUAUUCUUUCAAUUGAAACUCUUUUUCAGCAACUUGAGUCCCUUGGAGAUUUUGCUGUGUUAUUUGGUACUUUUGGGCUGAGUUGUGCAAGGACCAAAGUUCGUGUACGGAUCAGAUGGAGUGGCUCUAUUCAAUUUCGACCCUGGUCUGAGGUAAGUUAGUUUCAGCUUGGUUGGUUUAAGUAUACUACUCUGAUGUAUUGAGUGGUAGUUUGUUUUAUUUUUUUGUCUGGAUUCAUAAUUUUUAUUGCUUGUUAUAUAUAUACUUUAUUGAAGAACAUUCCAACUUGUUGUAACAUUUUGAUAUGUGAAAUAUUCAUUUUAUAAGUUUAAAUACUUUCAUAA